AUUGAACGCUGGUGGCAGGCCUAACACAUGCAAGUCGAGCGAGCGGAGGACGGGUGAGUAAUGUAUGGGAACUGCCUGAUAGAGGGGGAUAACUACUGGAAACGGUGGCUAAUACCGCAUACUAUCGGAUAACCCAUAUGGGCUUAGCUAGUAGGUGGGGUAAAGGCUCCCCUAGGCGACGAUCGCUAGCUGGUCUGCUAGGAUGAUGAGCGACACUGGAAGUGGGACACGGCCCAGACGCCUACGGAGGCAGCAGUGGGGGAUAUUGCACAAUGGGCGCAAGCCGGAUGCAGCGAUGCCGCGUGUAUGAAGAAGUCGUUGGGGUUGUAAAGUACGUUCAGCGGGGAGGCGUUACCCGGAGAAGAAGCACCGGCUAACUCCGUGCCAGCAGCCGCGGUAAUUC
rnacentral:rRNA from 1 species